GAGGAGCCUGCGUCCCAUCAGCUAGUUGGUAAGGUAAUGGCCUACCAAGGCGAUGACGGGUAGGGGACCUGAGAGGGUGGCCCCCCACAAUGGAACUGAAACACGGUCCAUACACCUACGGGUGGCAGCAGUAGGGAAUAUUAGAAAUGGACGAAAGUCUGAUCUAGCAACACCGCGUGUGCGAUGAAGGCCUUCGGGUUGUAAAGCACUUUUUGGAAGGAUUAGGAAGGAAUGUACUUCCAGAAUAAGUCUCGGCUAACUACGUGCCAGCAGCCGCGGUAACACGUAGGAGGCGAACGUUAUCCGGAUUUACUGGGCGUAAAGCGCGUGUAGGUGGUUCUGUAAGUAGGGCGUGAAAGCUCCUGGCUCAACUGGGAGAGGCCGUUCUAAACUGCAGAGCUAGAGGAUGGUAGAGGGAGGUGGAAUUCCGGGUGUAGCGGUGGAAUGCGCAGAUAUCCGGAGGAACACCAGUGGCGAAGGCGGCCUCCUGGACCAUUCCUGACACUCAGACGCGAAAGCUAGGGUAGCAAACGGGAUUAGAGACCCCGGUAGUCCUAGCCCUAAA
rnacentral:rRNA from 1 species